UCCAACCCAUUGUGACCUUACCUAUGUUCUGUUGCCUCGGCGGCGUGGUCAGCGCCCCUCUGAAAAGAGGACGAUGCCCUCCCGCCGGCAGCACCAAACUCUUUGAAUUUUACAGCGGAUUACAGUUCUGAUUUGAAAACAAAAAAACAAGUUAAAACUUUCAACAACGGAUCUCUUGGUUCUGGCAUCGAUGAAGAACGCAGCGAAAUGCGAUAAGUAAUGUGAAUUGCAGAAUUCAGUGAAUCAUCGAAUCUUUGAACGCACAUUGCGCCCGGCAGUAAUCUGCCGGGCAUGCCUGUCCGAGCGUCAUUUCAACCCUCGAACCUCCGUUUCCUCAGGGAAGCUCAGGGUCGGUGUUGGGGCGCUACGGCGAGUCUUCGCGACCCUCCGUAGGCCCUGAAAUACAGUGGCGGUCCCGCCGCGGUUGCCUUCUGCGUAGUAAGUCUCUUUUGCAAGCUCGCAUUGGGUCCCGGCGGAGGCCUGCCGUCAAACCACCUAUAACUCCAGAUGGUUUGACCUCGGAUCAGGUAGGGUUACCCGCUGAACUUAAGCAUAUCAAUAAGCGGAGGAAAAGAAAAUCU
rnacentral:rRNA from 1 species